rnacentral:rRNA from 1 species
AUGUCCCCGCAGGCCACCAAGGCCGCGCUAGUCACGGCCUACUACAUCGUCUCCUGCAGCAACCGCGCGGCCGCCCGCUUCGCCGAGCUAGGGGCAGUGCUCGUCGUUGUGGAGCUCGUCCUGGACGCUGACAAGAGGACGAGCGAGAAGGCACUGGCCGUGCUGGACGGCGUCCUGUGCCAACACCGGCCUCGAGUCCGUGCGUGGGCACGCGCUGGUCGUGCCGGUGCUGGUCAAGAAGAUGUUGCGCAUGUCCGACAUGGCCACGUGGUUCGCCGUCUCUGCGCUCUGGUGCCUCUGCCGUGCCGCGGACACUGGCCCGGCGCGUGCUGCAACGAGGCGCUGCGUGUGGGCACCUUUGAGAAGCUGCUCCAGGUGGGCUGCGGCGGCGUGACCAAAGAUCAGGCCAACGAGCUCUCAAGCUGCUCAAUGGUUUCAAGGGCAGCGUAG